rnacentral:lncRNA from 1 species
UGAACUGUCGGAAGUUAUGGAAUUUCCGGCUGCGCAUGCUUUGUAGUCAUUCGGAUCAACUUCAUCUACUGUGUGGCCUCCUGCAUAGUUGAACGCUGCCACGAAACAGAAGAAAAUAUAAGCUAAUACAGAUGCUCCAAAUUAAAGGUGUUCUAGGAGAAAUGAAAGAACGAAUAUAAGCGAACAUGAAUGCAUGAAAGAUGUUCGACGUUAUUCCUAUAUGGAGUAAAAGAUGAAUAUGAGCAAAUACGAAUGCUCGAUAGGUGUUCGACGUAAAUCCCAUGAGAGAAAAAGAAAGAUGAAUAUGAACAAAUGAGGAUGCACGAAAGCUGUUCUACAUUAUUCCCAUGGGAGAAAAAGUCAAAGAAACAAUAGCAAACCAAGUUUGUCGCCGACGCCAAAGGUCUUCCCUGAAGCCCAUGUGACAUAAUCAACACCAAGAGCCCAACCGGCAGUGUCUCCAACGGUAUAAACAGUGGCCAAGUUCGGCUGCACCAUGCAGAUCCCAAGUACCAGGAGGCAAAGAAGUCCGCCAUGGAAGCUCGCCAUUUGAAGGUAAUUAAAUUAACUAGUGAUGUGUUUUUGAGUAGAUGUUUCUAGAGAUAGAUUUCAGGAUGGAAACAAGAGGAUUGAAGGUUUUGCAUAUAUAUAAUGGGGGAAGAAGGUGGAGUUGUUAGAAGAGUCAGUGAAGUUUGGUGUUAAUGCAAAUAAUUUUGGUAGUGUGGGGGAUAACUUAAUCCAUACUUUUUACCUAAUACGUUUGGCAAGUACUUUUCACUAGGAUUAAUGGUAAUUUUGGGAAUUUAGUUCAUUUCAAUGAAGAAAGUUUCAAUUUUUUCUAGUUUCCUAAGCUUCUAAUAGGUUCAAAGAUUAUCAAACUCAUCCUUUCUUUACGUUCUAAAAGCCAUUUAAUUAUACUUACAUCAAGAUUCUAGAUUUAGCUUACCAUGUCUUCAAGAAACCAUUUCUUCUGUUAAGCCGUUGGAUGAUUAAAAAAAAAGUAAGUUAUCUACUUAGCCAAACAUGUAUUUUGGACCAAAUUUCUUGACAUGAGUUUAUCCUUCCUUUUUUUUUUAAGGGAAAUUCAUUCGGAAGCUAACCGCCUCACUAACAAAGGAAGAGGAAAACCAAUCUUGCACAACCAAAGAUCGAAGGAGGAAUAGGCGUCCCUCUAAUUACGAUAUACUAAGACAAGUCGAACUAGUCGAUGAUCCAAACCAUUCGCUAGUGCAAACACCACAAAAGCAACAACUUAGAUAAGUCCAGAUUCUUAUGAGCCAUGGCACUAACAAGAUUACUACAGUAAAAAACAUGAGUCAAUGUUAGGUUGUGUGCAAAUGAAGAAAUGCAUGUGAAGCUGGCUUGAUUUAGCUUGUCUAGACAAUGAUAGUUUUGCUGCCAUUUCUUUGGGAUCAUUGUUGUGGUUGUUGUGGUAGAAAGUCAUUGGGAUUAUAAUAACUUAAGAAAGUGAUAUUGAAAAGAUGCAAUGAGUUUUUAACACCAUAAUUUAAAGUUGAUAUAAUUAUCCUUUGGAGGUGGCAUGAUGUAUGAUGAAUGCUUCAUGUCUACUAAAUCUAUUAAACUAUAUGUCAAUGAAGAAUUAGCUGUCGCAAAUUGGAGGAAAUUAAAAUGAGUAAAUUAACAACCAAAUUUCUUUCUAUUUUAAAUUUUAUUUGUCAAAUCUUGUUUGAGAUAUUUGUCACCAUCCCAACCAACUUGGAAACCUUGCCGCUUAAUUUUUUUUUUUUCUAAUUGUUUGAUAAAACUUCAUAAAUAGUUUUUAUGGUUUAACGUACAAAUCAAGUGGUCACCAUGGAUUGAACUCUUGAUUUCUUAGUCUCUGGUGAGACUAAAUAGCUUUUUCAGAUUUUAAAAAUCAAAUUUGCAAUUUAGAAUUUUUUUUAUAUGGAGAUACAAAUGAAAACUUGAUCGAAAAUUCAAAACUAGUUCAAAACUAACUAAACUCUGACAUUCAAACUUUUACAAAUUAGACACAUUGGUAAACUUUAAACUUUAGUACAUGAAUAGAAAUGAAUAGAAAUGUAGUUUUAGCACAUGAAUAGAAAUGAAUAGAAAUGUAGUUGGUUAUGAUAUAACACUCCACCAAACGAAUUAAGAGUCAAAAAAGUAAAAAGUACUAAAGGAAGACGAACUGCUAGCAUUAUUAUUGUCUAAAAUGAACAAAUUGGUGGUGGUUUGGCUCAACCAUCCCUAAUUUGUGCAUUGCCAUUAACAUUGCUCCACGUGAGUUGGGGCUUUAUGGGGACCCUCUUGGCAUCAACCCAACCACCUCACUCUUAUUCACAAUCCUAGUGAAUUGGAAACCCUAACAAAACUACCCAAUGCUAGAUUUGCACUACGUGGAUGGUAAGAUAAGCCAAUGGUAUCAAUUUUCUUAAUUGCUCUUAGGCUCCCAAUCGAAAUGGGCUAAAAUCGAAAGGAAAACAAAAGGGACAGUUGUAAAUAUAAGAAUCAAGCACAAAGUAUUGUCAAAUAUAGCACAAUACAAACAAAAAUGAAUCUUACAAAUGAGAGACCAUGUUACUAAUAGAAGUUCAUUAGGUUAGAGUCUUAUGAUCAAUAGACUUUGAAUAUUCACGAUUUUUUUUUAAAUGUUACUAAACACUUAAUUAUUAUCCUAAAAAUGUUACUCACUACAUUUCAAUGGUGUUUAUUUAGGUGCUUGAGCCCCUAACUUAUCUAGAGUUAAAUAAAUGUUCGAAUAUCUCAUUAUAAUAGUUGGGGUUCUCAAUUAUUAUAAUUUACACUUACCUAUAGUAAAAUUAUUUAAGAAUUCUCACAAUUGUUUACUAUUUUGUAAUUAUUCUCUCCUUAUUUGUAAUCUAGACUAAAAUAGUUUGCAUCUCAAACACAAACUAUCAUAACUCAUAGACUACAAAAACCAACUCAACAUCUAAUCAAACCCACCAAAAUUUUGACAAGAAUGAUACUUAAUUAGCAUGCAAUCUACCUUUGGUACCACAAUUUGGGUAUGCGAAAAUUUGAAACAUAGACUUCACGAUUAUGAGUACACUUAAAUGCUAGUUGAACUAAGCUCUCGUUGGCCACAGCAAAUCUUUCUUCUCUCUUUUAUUCACGGAGAAAUCAUGACAAGAAUGUUCUAAACUGGGUAUUGAACUAAAUGAAAAAACAUCUAUUCAGAGAACAAUCAACUUUUGUUAACUCAAGAUGAUGAACCCUACCAUAAGAUAACUACAAUUUGAAGAGCCCAAACAGUGGAGUAGGAAGAUUCUGGCAGUGGUUUGCCAACCAAUGUAUUAGCUCAGUCCCAAAACAGAGCUAAUCUCACACAAUCAAAUACAACAUCAUUAGCACACAAUAGACAACUUAAACAUGAAAAGGAAAACAACAAUUCUAAGCAAGAAUGAAUAAUAUAAAGGUUUCAAGAUGCACUCACACAAAAUGCAGCCUUACCUCAUGCCACCUUGAAAGGUUAAAAAAUGAGAGUAGAGAAUAGGAAGACAACAUAUUAAUAUAAAAAAAAAUUAUGACGCUCAAAAGAAGAAGGUCAAACUUAUCAGUAAUCAUCGGAUGAACAAGAACAAACCAUCAAUACUGCAUUUGAGGAAAAUAUCUGGCAUCUUCACUUUUCUCCAUGCAUCUUGACAUUGAGGGAUAACCAAGCCAGCAUUCAUGAAAAAUGAAUCAACAAAUGUCCCUUCAAAUGCAUUAGCUCAAAAGCAGUUGAUCACUUUUAAUCACUGGAACCAACUAUCUAAACAAUUAAAGUGCAGACUGUUCUUGAAUGUUCUCAAUUCAGCACAACCCUGUGAUUAUGCAAUGUAGUACACAUGAAUGAGAAUACACAAAGGAAUUGUGCCCCCCUACACCACCACGCACACCAAUUUUAAAGAAAAAAACUAGAUUGUCCUUUAAUGUUCUCAAUCAUGAAAUAUAGUACACAUGACUAUGAAUGCAAGUACAAUACUGGGACCAUGCAAUAUAGUACACAUGAAUAAAAAUGCAUA